GACCAGGUUCGGCUUGGCACUCCGCUCCGGCAUACCGCAAAUCGGUUGUCUUUUUCUUUGAGGAGCUUCAAGCUCGGCGUGCCAAUUGCCGGCAGCAAGCUAGCUGGAAGACGCGUCGACGUUCUGGACUGAGUCACAAGUGUUUUAUCCAGUCGUGUGCAGGAUGUCGGGUUGAGUUUGAGUAACUGCUUCUCAGUUGUCAUAGCGGAACGUGUCGGUUUUCCGUGCAUGGACUUGGCGUUAGAGCGGGCUGAAAACUGCACUAAUCUUGGAAGCUUGGUAUCGGAAAUUCCUACAUUCCCCUCGUUUGUCGACGACUGUUGGUGAAACUCGGCAUACACAAACGAAAAUGUCCCGGUUCUCCCACCAAGAGUUCCACUUUACAAACAGUUUGAAGCACAGUUUGACUGCACUGGGAAAGGAUUUGUAAAGACAUCUUCACCCACCAGUGUUCCCAGGGAUGCCACACACCUGUACUGUUGGCUAUGAUAGUGUUCCAGGUAUGGUGGGCAGCAAGCAAGGUAAGGGAGUCUAUGCAGUGUAUCACAACUCACAGACAUUCACACUACACAUACUAACAUACAAGACAUGAGCUGGAAGGUUGUUUUCUUGUUACGUGGAAAUUUUCUUUGGUUUGAAACUGACAAUAACGAGUCGUAUAUUGUGUACUAAAUGUAGUUAUCAA